rnacentral:rRNA from 1 species
UACGGGGGGGGGCAAGCGUUGUUCGGAAUUACUGGGCGUAAAGGGCCAGUAGGCGGCCAACUAAGUCCGACGUGAAAUCCCAAGGCUUAACCUUGGAACUGCGUCGGAUACUGGAUGGCUUGAAUUCGGGAGAGGGAUGCAGAAUUCCAGGUGUAGCGGUGAAAUGCGUAGAUAUCUGGAGGAAUACCGGUGGCGAAGGCGGCAUCCUGGACCGACAUUGACGCUGAGGCAUGAAAGCGUGGGGAGCAAACAGGG